CUGCACUUCACAUUCUCCCUGUUGGAACCAUUUUUGUCAAAUUCCUUGCCUUAGUGGGCCUUGGACUAUAUAAAGGUUGAGUUUCUACUGCCAGAGUGAAGCAAAGAAUUGAGACAACUAAGUGAGACAGUUCAUAGAUUAUUCAGGGAAAAAAAUCUGCCUUUGAAAUUACUGAGCCGCUUCAGUUUUUAUUCCAGUAUCAUACAAAGCACUGUCAUCUGAAUUAUUUAGCAGUGGCUUUCAAAUCUACUUUGCCAUGACUCACAGUAAAAAAAAAUACAUUUUACAUUUUCCAGGUCAUAUGUUUUUUUCAUUCAUUCCUUCAACAAGUAAGUAUUGAACACCCACUGAAUGCCAAAUUCUAUUCUAAGUGGAGUACACUUGUGAAAGAAGCAAAAGAGAAAGAACAGAGAGAAAGACAACACUUGCCUUCAAAGACUUACUUUACAGACUGAGACAUGCAGAGAGAGAGAGGUUAAUUGAUUUACACAAAUUCACACACAACCCCAAGGAAGUGAUGGUCCACUGCCACCCCUCAUUAUCCUCUAUAGUGCUGCAUCUGGCUCGGGGCCAUUUCUCUUUGAUUGUGCAACCUUGACCUUUGCCUGGAGCAGCUCUGCAUUCCUUUGCCAGGUAAAGUCACAGGAUUAUUUCUAAGCCUAUCCAGACCUCAACAUGCUCCAGGACUCCUCUCUUGUGCCACCAUUGCUUCUGGCGUGCUUAAUGACUGCUGGUGCGCCAGAGCAGGAGCCUCUGCACCAUUACCUCCACUCCACAACCAGGUGUCACCCAGCUUCUCAUCCCCUACAGCAUAGUGCUUGACAGCAGUAUUAAUAAAUCCACAUGGAAUCUAUAAGUGACACAAAGCAGAGAGGUGGCGGGAAGUGCUUUCCAGCUAGAACUGCAGGGUUUUGACAACAUCUAUUUAAAAGGCUAAGAAAGGAUACCACUGCUAAAAAGAUCUCUUUAUUUGGAUUACAAAAAUCACACCUGUAGUGGAAGAAGCACAUGAAAAAAUCCUACAAAUAUUUUAUCUCCCCAAUAUCAGUAGAUAUAGAACUAUGUCAGUAUGUCAUAAUCCACAGAAAAGAAACUUAGGAAGAUUCAAGAAAAUGAGGGCUACUAUAGUUCAAAUUCUUCAAAGGAAAAAAAAUCUACAUAGCAUCAUGCAUGGUGGUACAUACUUGUAAUCUCAGCUCCCAAGAGACAAGAUAGUAGCUCACUCUCCUAGCAUGUUCGGGGGCCUAGAUUCAAUCCAAGUACCUUGAAAAAAACCUAAAUGGCACAGCCAAUUCUAUAGUUAUCCACCCUGGCUUCACUUAGUUUGGGCAGGACAAGGCUGUAUAGUUGGUGAAAAGAUUUAGGAGAAGAAAUUAUGAAAAGGGAAGAAACUAUGACUAAAUAUUAACUAAACCUAGAAUUCUAAGUUUAAAUUUUGCCCUACUACUAGAGAUGAUGGGGAAGGUCAGUUAUAGAAAUGUAUACAGGGGGCUGGGGAUUUAGCUCAGUGGUUCCGGCACCUGCCUCACAAGCACAAGGUCCUGAGUUUGAUCCCCGGUACCAAAAAAUAAAAAUAAAUAAAAAAUAAAGCAGAGUGUGGUGACACACACCUGUAAUCCUAGCACUUGGGAGGCUGAGGCAGGAGGAUCGUCUUGAGUUCAAGCCCAGCCUGGGUUCCACAGUGAGUUCAAAGCCAGCCUGGACUACACAGUAAGACCCUGUCUCAAAAAACCAAAAUAAAUAAAUAAACAGGACUGGGGAAUGUAGCUCAGUGCCAAGGACUGGGUUCAAUCCCCAGUAUCAAACACACACACGUGGGCUGGGUGUGCACUCAGUAUGUACAUGGCCCUGGGUUCAAUCCCUAGGAUGGGGACACCCCCGCAAAAAACCUGUAUCUGCGAGAUAGUAUAAAUAC
rnacentral:lncRNA from 1 species